ACGAACGCUGGCGGCGUGCUUAACACCUGCAAGUCGAACGGAAAGGCCCUGCUUUUGUGGGGUGCUCGAGUGGCGAACGGGUGAGUAACACGUGAGUAACCUGCCCUUGACUUUGGGAUAACUUCAGGAAACUGGGGCUAAUACCGGAUAGGAGCUCCUGCUGCAUGGUGGGGGUUGGAAAGUUUCGGCGGUUGGGGAUGGACUCGCGGCUUAUCAGCUUGUUGGUGGGGUAGUGGCUUACCAAGGCUUUGACGGGUAGCCGGCCUGGGAGGGUGACCGGCCACAUUGGGACUGAGAUACGGCCCAGACUCCUACGGGAGGCAGCAGUGGGAAAUAUUGCACAAUGGGCGGAAGCCUGAUGCAGCAGCGCCGCGUGCGGGAUGACGGCCUUCGGGUUGUAAACCGCUUUCGCCUGUGACGAAGCGUGAGUGACGGUAAUGGGUAAAGAAGCACCGGCUAACUACGUG
rnacentral:rRNA from 1 species